rnacentral:rRNA from 1 species
UACAGAGGUCUCAAGCGUUGUUCGGAUUCAUUGGGCGUAAAGGGCUCGUAGGUGGCCAACUAAGUCAGACGUGAAAUCCCUCGGCUUAACCGGGGAACUGCGUCUGAUACUGGAUGGCUUGAGUUUGGGAGAGGGACGCGGAAUUCCAGGUGUAGCGGUGAAAUGCGUAGAUAUCUGGAGGAACACCGGUGGCGAAGGCGGCGUCCUGGACCAACACUGACACUGAUGAGCGAAAGCCAGGGGAGCAAACGGG